GACGAAUCGUGCGAACGUUGUUCGGAAUCACUGGGCUUAAAGGGCGCGUAGGCGGGUCGCCAAGUCUGGGGUGAAAUCCUCCCGCUUAACGGGAGAACUGCCUCAGAUACUGGCGACCUCGAGGGGGAUAGGGGCAUGCGGAACUACGGGUGGAGCGGUGAAAUGCGUUGAUAUCCGUAGGAACUCCGGUGGCGAAGGCGGCGUGCUGGAUCCCUUCUGACGCUGAGGCGCGAAAGCCAGGGGAGCAAACGGG
rnacentral:rRNA from 1 species